AGUGAACGCUGGCGGUAGGCUUAACACAUGCAAGUCGAACGGCAGCACAGUAAUAGCUUGCUCUUACGGGUGGCGAGUGGCGGACGGGUGAGGAAUACAUCGGAAUCUACUUUUUCGUGGGGGAUAACGUAGGGAAACUUACGCUAAUACCGCAUACGACCUACGGGUGAAAGCAGGGGAUCUUCGGACCUUGCGCGAUUGAAUGAGCCGAUGUCGGAUUAGCUAGUUGGCGGGGUAAAGGCCCACCAAGGCGACGAUCCGUAGCUGGUCUGAGUGGAUGAUCAGCGACACUGGAACUGGGACACGGUCCAGACGCCUACGGGAGGGAGCAGUGGGGAAUAGUAGGCAAUGGGCGCGAGCCUGAUCCAGCCAUACCACGUGGGUGAAGAAGGCGUUCGGUUUGUAAAGCCCUUUUGUUGGGAAAGAAAAGCAGCAGGUUAAUACCCCGCGGUUCUGACGGUACCCGAAGAAUAAGCACCGGCUAACUUCGUG
rnacentral:rRNA from 1 species